GACGAACGCUGGCGGCGUGCCUAAUACAUGCAAGUCGAGCGGACUGAAUGGGAGCUUGCUCUUGUUCGGUCAGCGGCGGACGGGUGAGUAACACGUGGGCAACCUGCCCGCAAGACCGGGAUAACUCCGGGAAACCGGAGCUAAUACCGGAUAACACCGAAGACCGCAUGGUCUUUGGUUGAAAGGCGGCGCAAGCUGCCACUUGCGGAUGGGCCCGCGGCGCAUUAGCUAGUUGGUGAGGUAACGGCUCACCAAGGCGACGAUGCGUAGCCGGCCUGAGAGGGUGACCGGCCACACUGGGACUGAGACACGGCCCAGACUCCUACAGGAGGCAGCAGUAGGGAAUCUUCCGCAAUGGGCGAAAGCCUGACGGAGCGACGCCGCGUGAGCGAAGAAGGCCUUCGGGUCGUAAAGCUCUGUUGUGAGGGACGAAGGAGCGCCGUUUGAAGAAGGCGGCGCGGUGACGGUACCUCACGAGGAAGCCCCGGCUAACUACGUG
rnacentral:rRNA from 1 species